rnacentral:rRNA from 1 species
UACGAAGGGGGCGAGCGUUGUUCGGAAUUACUGGGCGUAAAGGGCGCGUAGGCGGCCCUCUUUGUCGCGUGUGAAAGCCCCGGGCUCAACCUGGGAACGGCGGCGCGAAACGGGGGGGCUGGAGUUCGGGAGAGGAGCGUGGAAUUCCCAGUGUAGAGGUGAAAGUUCGUAGAUAUUGGGAAGAACACCGGUGGCGAAGGCGGCGACCUGGUCCGAUACAUGA